rnacentral:rRNA from 1 species
GAUGAACGCUGGCGGCGUGCCUAACACAUGCAAGUCGAGCGAAGCGCUUAAAUUAGAUUUCUUCGGAAUGACGAUUUUUGUGACUGAGCGGCGGACGGGUGAGUAACGCGUGGGUAACCUGCCUCAUACAGGGGGAUAACAGUUAGAAAUGACUGCUAAUACCGCAUAAGACCCCAGCUUCUCAUGAAGCGGUGGUUAAAACUCCGGUGGUAUGAGAUGGACCCGCGUCUGAUUAGCUAGUUGGUAAGGUAACGGCUUACCAAGGCGACGAUAAGUAGCCGACCUGAGAGGGUGACCGGACACAUUGGGACUGAGACACGGCCCAGACUCCUACGGGAGGGAGCAGUGGGGAAUAUUGCACAAUGGGGGAAACCCUGAUGCAGCGACGCCGCGUGAAGGAUGAAGUAUUUCGGUAUGUAAACUUCUAUCAGAAGGGAAGAAAGUGACGGUACCUGACGAAGAAGCCCCGGCUAACUACGUG